GGAGAAUUAACUCACACUACGGACCCGAGACCGUCUGGCGGGGCCAUAUAGGCAAUCCCUGGCGUGACCAACAUCCGGAGCGCACUACUUGUGUGGGGCUUCCAUCACAAGAUUUAACAGACCGUGAGCAUGAUCCAAUCCUCAUCUCGAGAAUACCCUAUCCUCUAGGGUUACAAUCAUCAUGUAGUCCAUAGGUUUCAUAUACACUACGACUCACAUAUGUCACUCGUUCUUUUGUUUACUAUCAACUAGAUGCCACUCGUUCUUUACAAGUUUCCAAUGCAAUAGCCAAUACAUUACUAAAUUCCCAUCCACACUUAUCAUCUCAUUAUAGGGUUCCACAUCACAUAUAUAAACCUCAAGCAUGCUAGAUAUAAGUACUAAGCCAAAUACAUUAUUCUACCAAAGAACAUGCAAGGUAUAGAACCAAACCCUCAUUUAUCACCCUAUAAUGCAAGAUGUCAAUAUGCAAUUUGAU
rnacentral:lncRNA from 1 species